rnacentral:lncRNA from 1 species
UGUUCUUAUAGUUUAAAUUACAUAUUUUAUGUGUAUAUAUAUAACUCUAUAAAUGUAUACAUAUAUGUAAAUAACUAUAUUCAAAUUAGUUUAUUGUAAACCACCAUAGCUUUAUUCCUUAUCGAUGAGAUAGAAACUUGUGGCAUCCAUACAUUGGCAGGCAAUGGGAGCAUCCAUGGUUUAUUAUGCCUCACCAGCUUGGACGCUGGCGUAUCCAUUGUGGGGCCAGAUGUUGUAACUGGUAUCUUUGUUUAACAGGGAACAUACAUUGAUAUAUCAUAUUAUAUUAAUAAUAUACAUAAUGUAAGUUUAUUGUAUGAGAUAAUACAAAUCUUGACAGCCCAAUUAUGAGAGCUUCAUAUUCAAAGCCCAAGAGCAGCACCAGGCAGCCAAGCAGAGUGAGGUGCAAUUGGUAAGACGCUAUUGAACAGUUAAGCUAGGAGGAAUUGGCAGUUGAACAGAAUGCUUUCAUCCCUUUCUCCCUUCAUCCACUCCUCCCCUACUCCGUCAGUCCAUCUCCUCUGAUUCUUUCUCUUCUUCUUUCCUUCCUUAUCUUUUAUCUUUUUUUUUCUUACAGCCAUACCAUGAUGGAAAUAGAUUCAAAAGAUUAACCAGCCAGAAUUUGCUUUGUUGUCAGAAUCAGCUGAUUCUGAUAAGUUUUGGCAAGUCUUUUAUUGAGUCCACCUGAUUUGAUAAAUACAUUGAGAAAAAGAAUUUUUCAUAGAAAGAAAAGGUCUAAUCCAAUCAAGGAAGCUGAUACAAAUUAGGAUUGGUCAAAAAUAAAAAAAUGCUCAGUUUACAAGGGUCCUCAUCCAAAGUUAGCAAUAUAUCUUCCACAAAUUGGUCACACACAUUAGGAGCUCCACUUAGUUGACCAAAAUUUUGAUGCCCUGACAUCAAUACACAAGAGCAAAUCACAUAGAUAUCAUGCACACAAAACAAUGUAUAAUAUUAUAAUAUUAAAUUAUUCCCAAAAAAUUCAUAUAUUUUAAAUGCUUCGGGCUAACUGCCGAAACUGAAAUUUUAAACCAUCUAUUUAAUUCUGAGACAGCAAAUCUGAUCCAGCUAACACCCAUUUGUUAAAACUCCUGAAUUCUCCACCCACCCUAAUAUUGAUGAUCAAUUUUGAAAUUCUCAACUCCAAGAGCCCCAAUAGAAAUCUUUAAUUAGUAAAACCCAUGAGAACUUCUAUACAUCACAAUGUCAGGCAAUCCUUUUUAAAAAUAUCAUAUGGAUUCUCUACAACAACAAGCAAAGACUACUACAAAAAUAAUGCUCACUUCGACUUGCACUACAUACUAUAAUAUAGAAUAUUAAGUCCAGAUAAUUAGUGCCCCCCAACAGAACUGCAUGCAUGCUGCAAUUAGUCUGAUUUGUGAUGCCAAUAUAGAUGGCCUUAAACAAAUGUUAUAUGGUAAAAUAAUGCUUCUUGUGAAACCUAUCUAAUUUUUGGCAAUUCUGGUAUUCAAACUACAUCUUGUAAAUAUAUACCUAGUACUACCUGAAUUCUCAAAACAAUCAUUUAAAAGAGUACCUGGUGUCCUUGAACUCUUAAUACCAUUUUUUUUUUCCAUCAUUGGCCUCUGGAUGAUGGAUAAGAUGGAAAUUGGCUUCAGUGCAUUAGUCUGAUAAUUUUUGUAUACAGAAAGAAAAACAAAAAAAAACAAGAGAUGAUAUCUACUUCUUUCACUAUAAUGUCACCUUCCACACACAUUUGCAAAAUUAUAUUGAGAAAAAGUGACCUUUUGAUAUUAAGUUUGAGAUGCUGGCAAGCCACUCCAUUAGGUGGUUUUUGUAAUAGCAAGCAUGUAUUUCUUAUAAGAUAAAGGCCUUGUAGAUAACAAAAAAACAAUGUCUUCACGUCUCCUUCCUAAUGUGCACAAAUAAAACCCACAUUGAGGUACAAAUGUUCAUGAGUUCCGACAAAUCCGGAUCCAUCAUAGAUGCCAAGCAAAAGAUGCAUGCUAUUUCAUUAGUUAGUAUCUUUUAUGAAGGUAAUUAAGAAUUUCCUACAGAAUUUAUGUCAAGAUUUAACACACAACAAAAAACCUGCAUCUAAAGAUUCUUAUGUUGCCUACCACAGAUGCCAAAGCUCUACCAUUUUUUAGUAAACCCCAUUUUAAAGGAACAAGGUUUUUAAGAUAGUGAUCAAGUUCCAAGCAGUUGUACAGUUUAGGAUUAGGAUCUUUAAUUGAGCAGGAUCAGAUUGUGGGGACCAUAUUUUUUGAAUGAGCUGUAGACCAUGUGACAUUGACCAAAAUCAACCAGAAUGCACAAGGUAGACCAAAGUAGGCCUAGCGAGAAACUAGGCUAGAUCAUAAGUAAUUGACAGGUUAAAAACAUCACCAAAUAGGAACCUCAAUCAAGAAUUAGCCAUAUCAACUUAACAUCUGCUAAAUAUAUUGAUUUCCAGUAUAAGUGAUAAUCACAAAAAAAAAAAUCAAGGGUUUCGGAAUAAAAAAUGGGGUUUUGGCAAAUCCCAUAAGCUUAAACCACACAUCACAUCAUACGCAUUUCGCAGUGGUGCAUGCAUGUUAAAAGACCAUUGGUUUCACAUUUUUGAACUCUUAUCCACUUCAAGACAACUCAAGAUUUGCUAUGUGUAUGCCCGAAUGUUAUGUGUCAAAGUGUCAAGCGUAAAGAUAGUGACAUGAUUCGGAGAGGAAAUCAAAUCAUGAGAAGCAUGACACAUUGCACAACCAUACCAACAAGCCCAUAAGUACUUAGCAUCAAACAAAAGGAUCUCCAAUGUCAAGUGAGCUUUGAAAUGAGGAUGAAUAGGAACAAAACGGAGGAUGCAGUGAAGGAACAUAAAAAGUGAUGCAAUAGAAUAUCAAGCGUCAUAGGUAAGGUCCAAACGUCAACUAAACAAAACCCAAGUGCACCGAGGAUAGAAGAGCUUUCAAGAGCAAUAGCCUUUAUACAUGAAAGGUCCGUCACUAAAAUGACACCCAGAAUCCUUAUAAAGAAGGAACAAAAGAAUUACAUAGUGUCUUAUCUAAUCCAAAAACAAAGAAGAGCGAAUACAUGAGCAACCAUUACAAAAAGCAAGAUGGAUUAAGUUACAAGAUCUUAGAGGAUCUAGUUACCUGUGCAGAGUGCUCGAAAAUUUUCAGCAGUCUUGGGAACGAUAUCAGCAAAAAGCUGCAAAAAUGUAAUUUUUCAGCACUUUAACAAUAUAUGCCAAAAUGAUGAAAAAGGCAGAUGAGUUGUAUGAAGGAAUGUGAAGCUCAACAAAAUGUCAUGUAGUAACUGUAUAAUUAGAUCGAAUACCUCAAACACCAUCCGUCCUGCAGCUUUCCCAUCAAUUGCUACAUCAAGGAAGACAAUAGGAUUAUUCUUUUUUGCCAUUUUUUCCAGCUGGACUAUUCAAGGACCCAACAGAAGAGAAACUUCGCCUGCAUCAUUUCAGAAGGCAAAUUAGAAUUUCUUCUACUAACAUGUAAACAGAAAGAAAAUGAUUUAACCAAAAAAUCUAAACGGAAAGAAUUGAGAUAUAAUUAUAAGCUACAGGAACAGUACAACUUCUGGUCUAGCCUAGCAGAUAUCCAUAGUACAAAAGUCCGAUGCCACAGUAUCAAUGGAUCAUCAGAUAGAACAACGAUGACAAACGCUUCCACAGAGCCACAACAGGAUCUUAUCAACAUCGAUUUGUAGUCCAAUCAAAUAUAGAUGAGAGAAAAACAGGACGCGAAGCCAGGCAACAAAUCCACAAAUCAACUCCAAGAAAUGUAAAGGCCAAGAUGCAAAAGGAAAACAACCAAUUCAGACAGAUAGAGACGCAACAUAUAAUGCGCGAAUCUAAGACCUCCAACAAAAUCAUGAGGCGCCCUUGAAACCCUAAACCCUAUCUGAGCUGCAAAAAAAACCCUAGCGCGAAAACAAAGAGCAACGCAAUUUUAGAAAGAAAACCCACAGAGAAUCAAAAAAUCAGCAUGACAUGCAAACUAAAACAGAUACCCAUUCCAACCUAAAAGAAAAGGAUAAAGAACACGGCAACAAGACGGCGACCCACCAAAAGGGAAAGACUAAGACGCAAACGAGAAACGACUGGUACCAUAUUCAAACAAUAAGAAAGAGAUGAUACCGAUUUGACGACCUGAAAACCCAAAUUUCUUCCCUGUGGCGUGAAGCAGAGGGAAUCUGAGAGCAGCCGGUGCAGCACCGCCAAGGACUGAUGAGAGGCGACCGUAACCUAAAAGGCUUCGCGAGACGACAUCCGCUUUAUUUCUUCAGCAAAUUCCAGAUUACUAUAACACCCCGACUUUGAUGAUUUAUUUACAAAAAGGUCGCACCCGCCCGUGGUCUUGCUCACUCAGCUCACGUGCGCAUCAUAGUCCUUCCUGUCAUGGUAAGGAAGGGACCGCGCCUUAUUAUUUGGCUCGAAAUUGAUCUCGAUCGGAGCUUGAGUUGAGUCGGACUCAAUCGGAUUAGAUCGAACCUAAUCGAUCAUAUGUAAACACGUAAACAUUGCUUAUUUCUUAAACCAAGAGCAAAAUACCAUAAUACUCCUUUGUGGGGUGAUUUAUUCACUGGAGAGUCUCGCCUGCUUUAGUCACGUGCGGCACUUAUUUCGGUCAUGUUAGUUUCGAUGUUUGGAGGGGACUAUCGAAAUCUGUAUUAACAAUAAUAAAUUAAGUUUGACCCUUCUUAAGCAUAAAAAAUAUAUAUAUGGACAAUUUUAUUUGGUCCAUUUAUAUCGUUAUUGCAAAAUUGUGAUUCUCUUAAUUGAUCCGUAUGUAACUUCUUGAUAGAAAAAUAUAAGUUGCUUGAUCCUAUUAAGCAAAAACUAUAUCAGAUCCUAUUAAGAUAGUGUAUACCAUCGUCAAAUUUAAUAUAAUAAUUUAUAUUACAUAAUGACUUUUUGUUGUCUUGAUAUAAUAAUUUAUAAUAUAAUCUCUUUUGAUUUUCAAUAUAGUCCGUACAUUUUUCACUACAUGAUUUUACAUUUUUUAGUUAUUUGUUUACAUCAAAAUGCUUGAUAUGAAAGAAAAAAUAAUGUGAAAAAAAUGGUAAUAAUGAGCUAGAGAUGGAGCAGCAAAUAAAAAAAAUAAAAUUUGACUAUCACAUAUCAACCAUUUGUUUAGUUAAAUGGUCGAAUCGUCGAUCAUGCUUUAUCAUAUUUUAACUUAUGUUUUUGUCGUAUCAUUUUCUCUUAUCAAAUUCUUUCUCAUUUCAAUGUAGCUAAGUUAUAGAGCCAUCGACUCCUAAAGCAUGUCGAUAAUGAUCAUUCAUAUGAAUUAUUAGUUAUAGGUUACAGGGAUAUCCAGUCGGGUAACAACACAUAAUAGAUCCUAUGAGGCGUUUGUUUAGGCUACGAUGUCAGUAGAGCUUCUUAUAUCGAUCAAGAUUCUCUUUACUAGUGCAUUGAUUAUUUUAAGUGACACAACGAGAGUAUCAUCAUGGUCCAAAUAUAAUUGCUUGACUUCCUCUUUUUUAAACACGAUUGAGGGGUCUCCGCAAAACCUCUUAACAUAAAGUUCUUGUGCAUAGCUUUUAUGAGAGGAUGAAUUGCCACCUCCCAAUGCAAGCUUACAAACAAUUAUAUCCACUUGGUGCUCCAUGGGCUCACACGAUGGAGAUGUCUCAUGAACCAUAGCGAUUGAGAUGUCCUCUUUGAAUGAGCUCUUAUAUUUAUAGCUUUAAGUUGUGGCAAUCAUUUAUGUUAUGCGCAUGGUCUUAAUGGAAGUGAUAGAACUUUACAUAGUUCCAUCUGGUGGGAGGAAUUUGAAGAGGAUGGGGUGCGCGAAGUAAGUCUUUUUCAUAAUUUGCAUAAAUAUCUCAAUAUGGGAAGCGUUCAAAUGAGUGAACUCAUUGUAAGGGGGUGGGAGGUCGGCCACCAUGAGACAUGUCGUUGUGGGGUUACUCUGAGUUACUCAAUUACGAGUUUAUUUCCUCCUUAGUCUCCUUUAUGGGCUUAAUAAUUUUCUUCCUAGCAACUAUUGACUUUGCCACUAUAUGUCGAUUGGCUCUACCAUUAUAUGUUGAUUGGUCUCUUGCAGCAACUCAAGAAAAGUGACAGGAGGUCAUGUGAUGAUUGAAUAAAAAAAUCUCAAUGGCUGAAGGCCAUUAUUGUAUGCAUUGAUUAAGAUGGAUGAACUUUAAUCCUUAAAAUGCUUGAUGUAGCAAGCUAGGGACUACUUGUCCAUCUACCUUAUAGUUAAUAAAGAGAUGGUCGAUAUUUUCAAGAACUUAUAAUUGAUAAAGCUGAGUUCAAACUCUUUAGCCAAUUAUCUAAAAGAGGCAAUUGACUCAAUGGGGAGUUUAACAAACAAUUCCCUUGUCACCCCUUUAAGAGUUGUUGGAAAUAUACAGAGAGGGUUUGUGGUCUCGAAUAUCAUAUACGAGACAAAAGCAACUAUGUGCUUGGUGGGAUUGAAGCUCCCUUCAAAUAAUUUUAACGUAUUUGCCUUGAAUCCUUGCAAAAUUAGCUCCUCCACAAUGCUCUUGAUAAAAUAGGACCUUAGAUAGAGAUCGAUUUCAUGUGCACUCCACCUGAUUGUAACAUACACUAUACCAGGCUAGGCCAACGCAUAGCCCGUGGAUUAGUCAUGUGCAUUACACGACUACUUAUAUUGGGUUGGGUCGAGCUAACAUGCAGGUUGGAGCUUGACCUAUGAGUUAGGUUUGGGCUCCUAGUUGGGCCUAUGCUUAUUGUACGAGCCUAGUUUGUAGGCUAUGGCUUACGCAAUGGGGCUGGGCCUAGCUUGUUGGAUGAUAUAAAUCCAAAUCUUAACCAAUUCAUUUAAUUCUGAAUUAUCUCAUCAUGAACUUAUAAUCAAGCAUCUAAUCAUUAACAAUAUACUAUUAAAACAUAAUAAAUAGUAAUAGAAUAAAAUGAUAAAAAUUACAUAGAGAGAGAAAAUAAUAUUUUUAAUCAACUAUUAUAUAAAUCUAAUGAAAACCAUAUAUUAUAACUAGCAUCAAAGAUAAAAAUUUUAAAAACUACAUAUAGCAUGAAUACUUAUAAUAUUUUUUUAAUCCUAAAAAUAUAAUUUUAAUUAUAACAACAUUUAGAAACUGCAUAUAACAUGAAUAAUUGUAACACAUUUUAAUCCAAAAAUAAAAUCUUAGACAUUUAAAGAAAAUUAAAUAAUUUAAAAAUUACAUAUAACAUGAAUAAUUAUAACAUAUUUCGAUACAAAUGAAAAAUUAUAGACACUUAAAGAAAUAUUAAAAAAGGGUAAGAACCUGCCUUAUGAUGCUCAUUUUUUGUUAUUAUUGCUGCUAAAAUUGGUUUUAUGAUAAAAGAUUGAGAUGGAUCUCUCCCUUAAAUAGGAGCACGUGAGACCUCAAUAUAACUUUUUUAAAAAAAAUAGUUUUUAAUAGUUUUUAUUUUAUUUACUAACAAAAAUAACAUCACUACUAUGUUGAAUAAUUAUUUUUAAAAUUUUAUUAGCAAGAAAUGAAAAAUAUACCUAAAAUAGGGAUUUGAUUAUAUUUUUCCAUGUGAUAUUCGAAGAUCCACUUAUUUAAGAAUAAUAACCUUCAUAAGUGAAAUUUAAAGAAUUGGUGAUAAGUUAUAACACUAUUAUUAUUAUUAACAUAUAGAAACCAUCGACUCGUGAGUCGGCUUGGUUAGUUCAUUGUCGAAUAUGUAGGUCCUUUCUGAUGACUCCUCUUUGCUGAUGCAGAGAGCUGGCAUGGUGAGUUGGUGUGGAGAGCUAGAUUAUCUUUGUUGUUGGGCCGCCUCUUAGUUGUGUCUCUAGAUGGUUCCGGGGGUCCUGCAUAAUAGGUCUGCAUUGGGGGCGUCUCAGUUAGACUCCUCUAAUGCUUAAGUUAGAGAGACGGAAAGAGAGGUUAAGAAUGUAAGUGAGAGAGUAAAGUACUCUUGUCCGCUUACCCCAGCGUAGUCCACGUAAGUGUUGCUUAUGUGGUGAGGGGUGCUGGGGAGUGCUAGGAUUAUCCCUAUAAUUCAUCCCUCCGGAAAGGCGUUCUUUGGAGUUUCGAAUGAAGAUCUCAAAAGACGUUACUUUUUCUACAUUCUUGCAUGGUGAUGUCAUCAUUAUAUAGCUUUGGGUUCGUUGCUCGCACCGUGGUGGUUGGUGCGAGGCUCGUUUGGGGUGGGUUGUGCUUUCUUGUUGAGGCAAUCUUUGCUUAGACAAGUGUUGACCUAAGAGACCUCUCUCUUUUUUUCUCUCUUUAUCUUCAUUCUCUCCCUUCCGCACGAGAUGUCAUUCUCUCACAUUUUUUGAGUUCCCCCUUUCUGCAUCAUGAGGUUUCCUUCUUCAGUUUUGAUCUCUCCAUUUUGCACAAGAGGUUGGGUCAUCUUUUGGGCCUACCCCUUCUUCCACUUAUGGGGAUAGGUACUCGACCACUUAGGCGGGAGUGUAGGCCCACAAUAGCAGGUGUUCGCUCGACCACAUGAGUGGGAGGAUCAGUAUCAGACCACUAUAGCGGCUUUCGCUAUAAUGGGUCUUGAUUCGAUUAUCGUAGGCAGGAGUAUCGAUAUCAAUCUAUCAUAGUGGGUCUUAAUUCGAUCGAUGUGGGCAAGAGUAUUGGUAAUAGUCUACUGUAGUGGGUCUUGAUUCGACCAUCGUGAGCAAGAGUAUCGGUAUCAGUUCGCUAUAGCGAGUCUUGAUUCGAUCAUCGUGGCUAAGACUAUCGGUAUCAGUCCUUCGUAGCGGCUUCCACCAUAGUGAGUUUUGAUUCAACCAUCAUGAGCGGGAGGAUAGGCCCACUAUGGUGGGUUUUGGCUCGACCGCGUAAGCAGGAAGAUGGACCCACUAUGGUGCCUGGCUAGUGCCUGUGGUUGAUACUAUAACAGGUGGUGUUAUUGCUAUCGGGGUGCUUUGCCCAUUGUGCACGUCGGGUUAUGACACACCUUCUCGUCCUUAGGAUUUGUAUCGCCUAUGAUUUUUAAUUAUGGAGAGGAUCUUCUGCUGCUCUAAGGCUUGAUCUACUUAGGGAGCCACACCCCUUUUUGAGGCUCUACUGUCAUGCAAUGAUUGGAGGUUCGAUAUUCAUGGCGGGCAUUUCUUGUGCUAGAUUUCACAUUGUCCCUAGAUGAAUUUGUAUGAGCGUUGCCUUGUGGAAGAUGAGCUACUUUUGACGUCCGCUAAGCUUAUUCUGAGGUAUUUAUAUGGCAGGAUUUCGUCUUGGUAUCAUCAGCUUUCAGAGCUUUGUUUUGUCGCUAUCCGUCAAGACUCUCCACACCUUCUUUGUUGGUUGAUAUAGAUCCUUAUAGUCUGUAGGAGGGUGUCCCUCCAUUCUUGGAAGUGUUGAGCUCGUGAUAGGUGGUUCUAAGAACCCUGGUGAGGGUUGAUCCAAAGCCAUAUGUGGAAUCUUUCACCAGACCAACCUUGCUACCAGGGAUCGACUCUUUCGUAGGUGGGGAUAUUCCAUCGUGCGUCCAUCAAAGGCCCAAGCAUGCUAUGAAAAGUGUUCCGAGACUGGGGGGCCCUUCUUUGUUAGAGGAGGGCAUGGAGAGUUAUACCUUCCCGGUGGAGGUAGGGUAGGAACUCCUAACACAUCGUGGCUCGUUGUGAUGAUUGGGAUCCGGGCCCUUCUACCAACUGUGUUUCUACCCCCUUGGGGAUUACAUGGCCUUUAAGAUGACCAACCGUCCUCCAACGACCCCCGGGGCUCCCCUCCAAGCUAAGUGGGAGGGGUUGACACAAGACGCGAGGCUAUGGAAAGGCAGCGCAACCGUAAGCAAGUAUUACUGCGGGUUGCUUAUCUCAAUUUUGGGCAAGCUAAUAUACCAGGCCUCCACAAAGUCUCUGGUCGAUCAGUGCUACUACAACGAGGUCUUAGCAAGGGCCCAGGUUUCCUAGUCCUAUUGUCUUCUCGAAAUUGAUUUUGUUUUUCUAGGCAGCACCAUUACUACGUCAUAGGCCUAGUCGAUUGUGCGCACAAUGCGAGGAUGUUGAUGAGCCAGUUAUCCCAUGCGAACGCAAGCCUCGUGGUGAGGGUGGUAGAGUUGGAGAGGGGCCCUGCGACUAUUGAGGCCUAAGCCAUGAAGAUAAUCGUCAUGUUGGAACAAGCCCAACAACAAUUGGAAGAGUCCAAGUGGUGCCUAAUGAAGGCUGAGCGAUGCUUGGGAGGCCCGUGUUGUCGCCUGGAGGAGGCCCUAGAGCGGGGUCGCCAAUUGGAGGGCUAGUGCAAAUUAGCUCUAAUGAGUUGAUGGCCUUCAGAAUGGGGGCUCAUGAGGCGAUCACCACAUACAAGGAGUCGAAGGGAUUCCGUCGGGGGCUACGAAGGGCGAAGAGGGACUCCUACUAUUAUAGGUACCAUGUAGUCCUUCGGCACUUCCAGACUUGGUAUCCUGUGUUGGCCAUGGAGGAGGACCACUUUGCGCAGCGGGUUGAGGAUAUGGAAGGGUCUUGGGGGUGGAUCUCCUUUGACGAUGGCUCCAGCUUUGGCUUUUCUUCCUCCUCCAGUUGAUACUUUUGUUUUCUUUUUUAUAUGGAAUCUUUGGCCCAGAUUGCAGGCUUAUUUUUGUGCAGUAAUGAAAUUUAUUAGCCUUUUCCUUUUUGGCUUUAUGUGUAUAUUCUUUUGUCCUAGUGAUGUUUUGGGGGAGUAGCCCUGUUCUCUCCCACUGAUCGUCUGUUCGGAAAUGUCUUCUCCUGGGCGACUCCGAGGUUAGGACCCGAGGUUUAUGGUGCGCCCUCCUGCUAGCCUAUUCCCCGUGUAUUGAGACCAUGACUUUGGCUGAUGUGUACUGAUUAGCCCUUUGGAGGAUCUCUGAGAUGAUCCCUCAUACAGGGGCUCGUCUUCCCUUUGUCUCUACCCAAGCAAGACAACAACCAAGGGCUUUGGUCACAUGUUGGUGAGGAAAUGAGGCUCUAACUCUUUGACAAGCUAUAUAAAAAAGAAAAAUUAAAAUGAGCUUAAGGCGACUAUACCAUUCCUGGCUGACCCCCUCAAUGUCGUUGGGAACGCUCGACACAUUAGAGUCUCUAAAGUGCCAAACAGAGACAUCUAGGCCCGGAACGUGGUGGUGUGCUCUGCGGGGUUAGAGCUGCCAUUAAAGGUUUCUAGAUUGAGGAGGCGAAAGUUGGCUGGGUUGGGCUCCUCUUGGAUGCUUUAAAUAAAGGGGAAAAUGUGGGGUGUAUCAGGUUCACCGUGGGAAUGCUAGAACUCCCACCGAACCUCGUGUAGUCAUUGAUUCAUGGCUUGGAGUUGCGCCUUCAUCGAGUCUUCCCAAGAGACAAUCGAUUGGGCCUCGAAUUUCGGUAGGAUUUGAGUGCGGCUCGAUAGAACACCCUUGAUCGAGGAUAUCCUUGGGGGGUCGAGCGAGGACUUAUCAGAUGAGCUUCGAGGAGAGUAUGCAUGAUUAGUGGCUGAAGGGUGAGCCGUUGCAUUGGGGUUGUCAGUUGUGCCAAUUGGGGGAUGAGUGAGGCGAUGGCUUGCAUCAUGCCGGCGAGGGCCUUGACCUGUUAAGUGAGGCAUAGGAAUGCCUUUGAUGGGACAAGCAAGAAGCCUAUACUCAGCCUUGGGGGAAAGUCCUAGGUCAUUAAGCAAGCGCCAAUAGUGACCCGAUGUCUGGGUUGAGGUAGAGAUGUCGUUCCAUUGGAAGGGAGGUGUGUGCCUUCUUUGCUCGAAGGGGCUAGGCGCUAUGAGUAGUGCCCCCUCUUUGGAGCGCUUGUUGGAAGGAUUGGUAGAAGGAUAUUCCUGUGACAUUCGACCCUCCUUUUAGUGUCAAAAUAUUAAUACAUAAAGACAAUCGACUUGUGAAUCAACCUGAUUGAUUCACUACAAAAGAUACAGGUCCUUUUUGAUAACUCCUCCUUUUUAAUGCAGAGAGUUGGUGUGGCGAGUUAGUGUGGAGAGCUGGGUCAUCUUUACUACUGGGCCUCCUCCUAGCUGUGUCUUCGAAUGGCACUAGGGGCAUCCCGACUCAAUCCCUCCGAUGCUUAAGUCAGAGAGAUAGAGAGGAAAUUUAACAAUAUAAGUGAAAGAGUAAAGAGCUCUUGCCCACUUGCCCCAACUUGGUUCAGGGCUUGGUUUUCAUACCUGGGCGUUGAGCGGCCUAGACGUGUGUACGCCAAGGCCCCCCUUACCCUGUACGAUAAAGACAUUAAUGAGGGCAACUUGCAGGCGUGUGGCUCUAGUGCUUGGGGCAAAUCAUUGGGGGGGACGUUUCUGGGCUGACUUCCUUACCGCUUUGGGUUAGACAGGGAGUGAUCCCUUUAUUAGUCAUCAGGAAUAGAAGGAUUGUGAAGUAGGGCAAUGCUCUCGAUCAUUAAUGUGGAGGCAUAAUUUUUGCUGAUAUAUCAGUCAGGAAUGAAUUGUGUGGGCUCAUUUGUGAAAGCCAGGGCAGGCAACAUGACCUUAUGCUAGCGACCAUAGAGAAUAGGUGGUUCCUAAGUUUUUACUUAGGUGUUGCUUAAGUGACGGGGAGAGCCGGAGAGUCUCAGGAUUAUCCCUAUCAAUUAUUAAUGUAUCUUUAUAGAAAAAAAAUAAUAUUUAACAUCCAUUUAAUCGUGAACAAUAACAAUAUUAAAACCUUAAUUAACUUAGAAGUUCAUUAGAUUCGAUGAUUAUUUUAAAUUUUAUACUUGAACUCUUAUGUAAUAUAAGCAUUUGUAAAAUAUUUAAUUAUCUUCAAGAUAAAAAGAAUAGGGUGAAAAAAAGGAAAUGAAAUGAAACUUAAAUAAUUGGUUGAUAAUAAAAGUAUUAUUAUACAUAAAUUUAACAACUGAUCAUUGUAAUUUAUAAUGAGAGUUUAUUAAACGGAUAUAAACACGAGUAAUAUUUCCAGCGCAGCAAAUAUUUGGAUAUACGUAUUAUUUGAAAUUUCUAGGGACAAAUACAUUAUUUAUUAACAGUGAGAGGAUAAUUAUGUAAAAACACCAUUGGAAUGUAACUUUCUUUAGGACACGAUAUAUAAAGUGACUUGUCAACCGUGAGAUGGAUAUCACACGGUGCUCGUCCACCGACUAGUGAGACGCGUCUUGUUCCCGCCCCGCCUCCCGAAAACAAGCCCUAGAGUCAAAAAGGAGGCAGCCCUCCCGUUUCCGCUUGCUCUCGCGCCCGCCGCCGUCGUCGCCUCCUCUACAUCCGAGGAAUCAUGAUGGGGAGUACGGCGAACGGAUCUUGCGAGCCAUCGGCGAGCAGGGCCGGUGCCGGCGCCGUUGUGGACAAGGACGUCGACUUCGCCAACUACUUCUGCACAUACUCGUACCUGUACCACCAGAAGGAGAUGCUCGCCGACCGUGUCCGCAUGGACGCCUACUUCAAUGCCGUCUUCCAGAACAAGCACCAUUUCCAGGGAAAGGUCCAAGCCUUCCUCCUCCUCUUUCUCCCCUGUUCUCAUCGUCCGAAACAGUAGCAGAUUUGCUUCUUUGUUGAGUUCUUGUCUAAACGUCGUUGUUUGGUCUCAUUUGGUGAUUUGGUGGUGGGAAAAGGUCGUGUUGGACGUCGGCACGGGAAGCGGCAUCCUCGCUAUUUGGUGUGCACAAGCCGGUGCAAGGAAGGUGUAUGCGGUUGAAGCUACGAAGAUGGCGGAUCAUGCGCGUCUGCUUGUUAAAGGGAAUAACGUGGAAGACAUUGUCGAAGUGAUCGAGGGGUCGAUGGAGGAGGUUACCUUGCCUGAGAAAGGUUGGUCUUAGCCGAGCAUUAGGAUUCGGCACUAGAUAAUGUUUAAACAUGCGUGAUUAAGUUCUUUAUGGUGUGAUUAGUGACUGACAAUGGGGUCUUUGGUUAUGUUCACAGUGGAUGUUAUCAUCUCGGAGUGGAUGGGGUAUUUUCUUCUCCGGGAGUCGAUGUUUGAUUCUGUGAUAUGCGCUCGUGACCGUUGGUUGAAACCAGAUGGAGUAAUGUAAAGCUUGAAAUCUUCUUUAAUUUAUUAUUUUCGUUGCUCUUGCAAUCUUCAUAAGUAUGUUUAGGAUCCAUCUACAUUUUCAGAAGAAUUAUUGGCAUACUCAAAGUUCAAGUAUGUUAUAUUUUUACCUGCAUUUUCUUGUGAGAUGAGGAAAUGGGUGUCACAUGUAGAAGCAAAAGGGAAAAAAACAUAUAAAAGAAGGAUGACUUGGUUGUUAAGUGUGCAAAUCAGUUAUCACUAGGGCUUUCACCAUUAGGCGACAAAACUUGAUUCUCCCAAAUUAAAAAGAGUGAAUAAAUCUGAUGUUGAGUAGUUAUGCUCCCAAAUUAAAUAAAUCUCAUUUUUUUAGCUAGCAGUAGUUAUGCUUACUAUUUAUAGGUAGCUAGACAUCAGUAUUGCUUUCAUACUCAAUGCCCCUCUUGGUUAUUGUCCUAUGAAGCAGUAGGAUUACAUGGAGUGGCAUGUUUGUCCCUUGACGAUGCUUAUUCCGGGCACCUAGUUUAUUUGAUAUUUCUUUUAUUCUAUUUAUGCUUGUCAAGGUGAGAUCGUAUGCUUAUGUACCGCUUUAGUGGGCAAACAGCCCAACACUUGGAACAUACUACAACCCCAAGUGGCGAAGAGCUGACUUCGAGGUGCCAAACCUUCUUGUUGAUAGUGAACUCUUGGGGAAGAUCAGCCUGUUAUCCCUAGAGUAACUUUUAUCCGUUGAGUGAUGACCCUUCCACUCGGUUCCGUUGAAUCACUAAGGUUGACUUUUAUCCUUGCUCGACGGGUGGACCUUGCUGUCAAGUUCCCUUUUGCCUUUGCACUUGAGGGCCAAUUUCCAUCUGGCCCGAGGAAACCUUUGCAUGCCUCCGUUACCUUUUGGGAGGCCUACGCUCAAUAGAAAGUCUACUUGAGAUUGUCUCUUGGCCCGUAGGUCCUGACACAAGGUUAGAAUUCUAGCUCUUCCAGAGUGGUAUCUCACUGAUGGCUCGGGUGAGUGACAUUGCAAAAUUUGGCAGAGAACUAUCAAGGUCCGACAAAUUGAGGUCUAUGAAUUACUCUAUAUGAAAAAUAUUUGAUUGGGCUAUUUAAUGAAGAAAGCUCAAGAUUCCGCAAGUACCUUAAUCUAAAA